rnacentral:rRNA from 1 species
CCUACGGGUGGCAGCAGUGAGGAAUAUUGGUCAAUGGGAGAGAUCCUGAACCAGCCAAGCCGCGUGAGGGUAGACGGCCCUAUGGGUUGUAAACCUCUUUUGUCGGAGAACAAAACCCGGGACGUGUCCCGGACCGCGUGUAACCGACGAACAAGCAUCGGCUAACUCCGUGCCAGCAGCCGCGGUAAUACGGGGGAGGCGAGCGUUAUCCGGAUUUAUUGGGUUAAAAGGGUGCGUAGGCGGACCGUUAAGUCAGCGGUAAAAUUGCGGGGCUCAACCCCGUCGAGCCGUUGAAACUGGCAGACUGGAGUGGGCGAGAAGUAGGCGGAAUGCGCGGUGUAGCGGUGAAAUGCAUAGAUAUCACGCAGAACUCCGAUUGCGAAGGCAGCGUGCCGGAGCCAGACUGACGCUGAGGCACGAAAGCGUGGGGAGCGAACAGGAUUAGAUACCCUAGUAGUC